AAUGAACGCUGGCGGCAGGCCUAACACAUGCAAGUCGAACGGAUCCUUCGGGAUUAGUGGCGGACGGGUGAGUAACGCGUGGGAACAUACCCAAAGGUACGGAAUAGCCUCGGGAAACUGGGAGUAAUACCGUAUGUGCUAGAAAGAGGAAAGAUUUAUCGCCUUUGGAUUGGCCCGCGUUGGAUUAGGUAGUUGGUGGGGUAAUGGCCUACCAAGCCGACGAGCCAUAGCUGGUUUGAGAGGAUGAUCAGCCACACUGGGACUGAGACACGGCCCAGACUCCUACGGGAGGCAGCAGUUGGGAAUCUUAGACAAUGGGGGAAACCCUGAUCUAGCCAUGCCGCGUGAUCGAUGAAGGCCUUAGGGUUGUAAAGAUCUUUCAGGUGGGAAGAUAAUGACUGUACCACCAGAAGAAGCCCCGGCUAACUCCGUGCCAGCCGCCGCCGUAA
rnacentral:rRNA from 1 species